UAAGGAAUAUUGGUCAAUGGACGCAAGUCUGAACCAGCCAUGCCGCGUGAAGGAUGAAGGUCCUCUGGAUUGUAAACUUCUUUUAUGUGGGACGAAACCUCUUAUUCUUAAGAGACUGACGGUACCAUAGGAAUAAGCACCGGCUAACUCCGUGCCAGCAGCCGCGGUAAUACGGAGGGUGCAAGCGUUAUCCGGAUUCACUGGGUUUAAAGGGAGCGUAGGAGGGCAGGUAAGUCAGUGGUGAAAUCUUCGAGCUUAACUCGGAAACUGCCGUUGAUACUAUCUGUCUUGAAUACCGUGGAGAUGAGCGGAAUAUGUCAUGUAGCGGUGAAAUGCUUAGAUAUGACAUAGAACACCAAUUGCGAAGGCAGCUCGUUACACGAAUAUUGACUCUGAGGCUCGAAAGCGUGGGGAUCAAAC
rnacentral:rRNA from 1 species